rnacentral:lncRNA from 1 species
CACUGAGACACAUCCCUGGCCCCUUUCAUUUCUUAAUGCCAGCAAGAAACCUAUCAUCCCUUGGUCCCAUGACAAGGUGCCAAGGCCUCACUAAGUUGUUCAGGUUGGCCUUCAACUGAUGCUCCUGACUCAGCCUCCAAGAGUGCUGGGGUUACAGGUAUGUGCAACCAUGUCCCCCUAGAAAUAGUAUAUCAAUAGCUCUUUAUCAGCAUCCUCGGAGUAAACUAACCAUAUUUUCAGAAAUUUUUCCAGAAAUUUUGAGCAUAAACCAAUAUUAAGAUUAAUUAGGGCUGGGGAUUUAGCUCAGUGUUUCCAGCGCCUGCCUCACAAGUGCAAGGUCCUAAGUUCGAUCCCUGGUACCAAAGGAAAAAAAAAAGUUUA